UACGUAGGGGGCAAGCGUUGUCCGGAAUCAUUGGGCGUAAAGCGCGUGUAGGCGGUCCGGUAAGUCGGUUGUGAAAGUCCAGGGCUCAACCCUGGGAUGCCGAUCGAUACUGCCGGACUAGAGUCCGGAAGAGGCGAGUGGAAUUCCGAGUGUAGAGGUGAAAUUCGUAGAUAUUCGGAAGAACACCAGUGGCGAAGGCGACUCGCUGGACAGACAUUGACGCUGAGGUGCGAAAGCGUGGGGAGCAAACAGG
rnacentral:rRNA from 1 species